rnacentral:misc_RNA from 1 species
GGGCUACUUCCAAACUUCAAGCC